UACGUAGGGGGCAAGCGUUGUCCGGAUUUAUUGGGCGUAAAGAGCGUGUAGGCGGCCAUACAGGUCCGUUGUGAAAACUGGAGGCUCAACCUCCAGACGUCGACGGAAACCGUAUGGCUAGAGUCCGGAAGAGGAGAGUGGAAUUCCUGGUGUAGCGGUGAAAUGCGCAGAUAUCAGGAAGAACACCCGUGGCGAAGGCGGCUCUCUGGGACGGUACUGACGCUGAGACGCGAAAGCGUGGGAGCGAACAGG
rnacentral:rRNA from 1 species